GACGAACGCUGGCGGCGUGCUUAACACAUGCAAGUCGAACGGGCUGCCUGGUUUUCGGAUCGGGUGGUGAGUGGCGAACGGGUGAGUAACACGUGAGUAACCUGCCCCUCUCUUUGGGAUAACGUCGGGAAAUUGGCGCUAAUACCGGGUAUUAUGGCUUGCUCGCAUGGGGUUGUUGGGAAAGGUUUUUUGUGGUGGGGGAUGGGCUCGCGGCCCAUCAGCUUGUUGGUGGGGUGAUGGCCUACCAAGGCGGUGACGGGUAGCCGGCCUGAGAGGGUGAGCGGCGACAUUGGGACUGAGAUAGGGCCCAGACUCCUACGGGAGGGAGCAGUGGGGAAUAUUGCACAAUGGGCGGAAGCCUGAUGCAGCAACGCCGCGUGCGGGAUGACGGCCUUCGGGUUGUAAACCGCUUUCGCCGGUGACGAAGCGUGAGUGACGGUAAUGGGUAAAGAAGCACCGGCUAACUACGUG
rnacentral:rRNA from 1 species